GGCAAGGUGGCCGAGUGGUUAAGGCGCUAGUUUUAGGCACUAGUGGGAAACCUCGCGGUAAGUUCCAAAUUAAACAUUCUUCUACCAUCAGUAAUCUAAUAAUCACCCAGAGUUCGAAUCUCGUCCUUGUCA
rnacentral:tRNA from 1 species